rnacentral:rRNA from 1 species
GUCGAUCUGGUGGCAACACCGGUGAAAACUCAGUGGCGAACGGGUGCGGAACACGUGAGCAACCUGCCCCAAAGACCGGGAUAACACCGGGAAACUGGUGCUAAUACCGGAUACCCCCACGAGCUCGCAUGGGCUUGUGAGGAAAGGGUUUCCGCUUUGGGAGGGGCUCACGGCCUAUCAGCUUGUUGGUGAGGUAACGGCUCACCAAGGCGACGACGGGUAGCUGGUCUGAGAGGACGAUCAGCCACACUGGGACUGAGACACGGCCCAGACUCCUACGGGAGGCAGCAGUGGGGAAUCUUGCGCAAUGGGCGAAAGCCUGACGCAGCAACGCCGCGUGGGGGAUGAAGGCCUUCGGG